UCUGAAGUCAGUCCCUGGAGCCAACACCAUCCCUUGAACAUGAAUGAGCAACCAUAAAGAGACCGUGCCAACCUAGGUCUCAUCCCAUCAGGAACCAGUCCACUGGGUCUCAUCCUCUAAUGAUGAUCUUCCUGCCCUGCUCAGACAUCAUUCCAUCCCUGCCAGUGCCAAUUGGAUGGUGCCACAAAACCCAUCUCCAUUUUAAAACAAACUCUUAACAGUGGCUGGAGUGUAUGGAAAAUUCGACCGAAUGUUUUAUUAGACCCGGAUCCCCAUUGGCACUUCAGGCUACAAGCCCUCAGGAAGCUGGCCUGACAUCUGUGACAAAAGACUUGAGUUCAACCCUGAAUUCUACAGAUCUUACAGAAUAAACACUCACACACUGGCCCUCCUUCAAGACAGUUCCAGUGGAAACACUCCCUCCUUAAGGACAUCUCAAAAGUCUCAGGAGCCCUCUGAAAAUACAAAAGCCACACCAGCGCUUUCACACCAGUUGCUGCCACAGUGGGCAUAUAGAACAUGUGGAUACCACCUUGGCCUUGAAGAAGGAGUACCAGGAUUUAGGCUGCAUUUGCUGCACACAGGCUAUUUUGUGAUCAGAUCUUGAAGUGAGGCAGCAUUAGAAGAAACAACCAGACCAGAGACACAGUUUAACUCAGUAAGUUCAAUUGGGCCACAAAGGAAGAAGAAACCCUCCCUCAGACCCCAAAGAACACCACCAUUAGGAGAGACAACGUUAGGAGGGUCUGAAGGGAAGAGCCUGCAAAUCCCUGAACAAAGGGGGUUUCUACUCUUAUAGGCUUCUAAGGGGUGGUAGAUCACG